UACGUAGGGGGCAAGCGUUGUCCGGAAUUAUUGGACGUAAAGAGCUCGUAGGCGGUGUGUCGCGUCGGUCGUGAAAACUUGGGGCUUAACCCUGAGCUUGCGGUCGAUACGGGCAUCACUGGAGUUCGGCAGGGGAGACUGGAAUUCCUGGUGUAGCGGUGAAAUGCGCAGAUAUCAGGAGGAACACCGGUGGCGAAGGCGGGUCUCUGGGCCGAUACUGACGCUGAGGAGCGAAAGCGUGGGGAGCGAACAGG
rnacentral:rRNA from 1 species